GAUGAAGAACGUAGCGAAACGCGAUAAGUAAUGUGAAUUGCAGAAUCCAGUGAAUCAUCGAAUCUUUGAACGCACAUUGCGCCCGCCAGCAUUCUGGCGGGCAUGCCUGUUCGAGCGUCAUUUCAACCCUCGACCUCCCCUUGGGGAGGUCGGCGUUGGGGACCGGCAGCACACCGCCGGCCCUGAAAUGGAGUGGCGGCCCGUCCGCGGCGACCUCUGCGCAGUAAUACAGCUCGCACCGGGACCCCGACGCGGCCACGCCGUAAAACACCCAACUUCUGAACGUUGACCUCGAAUCAGGUAGGACUACCCGCUGAACUUUAGCAUAUCAAUAAGCGGAGGA
rnacentral:misc_RNA from 1 species